CCUACGGGAGGCAGCAGUGAGGAAUAUUGGUCAAUGGACGAGAGUCUGAACCAGCCAAGUAGCGUGAAGGAUGACUGCCCUACGGGUUGUAAACUUCUUUUAUAUGGGAAUAAAACGUUCCACGAGUGGGACUUUGUAUGUACCAUAUGAAUAAGGAUCGGCUAACUCCGUGCCAGCAGCCGCGGUAAUACGGAGGAUCCGAGCGUUAUCCGGAUUUAUUGGGUGUAAAGGGAGCGUAGGUGGAUUGUUAAGUCAGUUGUGAAAGUUUGCGGCUCAACCGUAAGAUGGCAGUUGAAACUGGCAGUCUAGAGUACAGUAGAGGUGAGCGGAAUUCGUGGUGUAGCGGUGAAAUGCUUAGAUAUCGCGAAGAACUCCGAUUGCGAAGGCAGUUCACUGGACUGCAACUGACACUGAGGCUCGAAGGUGUGGGUAUCAAACGGGAUUAGAUACCCUGGUAGUC
rnacentral:rRNA from 1 species